UUUCCUUCUUAAGGAACAUUUCUUGUUCUAAAAAGAAAAGAAUAUGCCUUCCCUUCCCAAGAAUCCAAGAGUCUAAGUAAUUCCCUACCUAGGUAUCAAGAUUGUUGCUCUCUACUUACCAUAGAUAGACAGAUAAGAUAGAUAGAUAGAUAGAUAGAUAGAUAGAUAGAUAGAUAGAUAGAUAGAUAGAGACAGAUCAAUCUCCCAUUCUCAUAGUUAUAACUUCACCUUUUCCCCAAUCAUCUCAUCCAGAUCCUUCAUCCAGAAAUAUCAAGUGCAUGAGUCAAGUGAACUUUUAUGAAACAAAAAGAAAUCCAUUUAUGGCUUCUAUUGGCCCACCAAGUAGUCAUACUAGUGAGCGUACCAAAUGGUCUUUAUCCUAAUAAUCUAGACCCAUAUCAAUACAACAAGAGAAUCCAGAUAACUGAACAAAAAAUAAGUUUGAAUUCCCUAUGCCACCUUUUGAUCUACAGACCAUAGGAAUGGGUAACUUUUUUCUGCCAAGAGCCUUUUGGAUAUUUACAACAUCAUAACUGACCAUAUAAAAUUAUCGAUAUAGGAAGAGAGGCUCUGGGCAGUCGAUGAGAAGCAUUACUGUGCCUGUCCUGUCAUGUACCAAGUAAUUUCACAGAACUUAUACAGCCCAUGGGCUAGAUGUUCCCCACCCAAGUCAAAGAUGGUACUCAUCCACCAUGAUGGCCUUAGGUUGCUGCUAUGAU